GACGAACGCUGGCGGCGUGCUUAACACAUGCAAGUCGAACGGAAAGGCCCUGCUUUUGUGGGGUGCUCGAGUGGCGAACGGGGGAGUAACACGUGAGUAACCUGCUCUAGACUUUGGUAUAACUUCAGGAAACUGGGGCUAAUACCGUAUAGGAGCUCCCGCUGCAUGGUGGGGGUUGGAAAUUCUCGGCGGUUGGGGAUGGACUCGCGGCUUACCAGCUUGUUGGUUGGGUAGUGGUUUACCAAGGCUUUGACGGGUAGCCGGCCUGAGAGGGUGACCGGCGACAUUGGGACUGCGAUACGGCCCAGAGUCGUACGGGAGGCAGCAGUGGGGAAUAUUGCACAAUGGGCGGAAGCCUGAUGCAGCAACGCCGCGUGCGGGAUGACGGUCUUCGGGUUGUAAACCGCUUUCGCCUGUGACGAAGCGUGAGUGACGGUAAUGGGUAAAGAAGCACCGGCUAACUACGUG
rnacentral:rRNA from 1 species